AUUAUUAAUUAUUAAUUUUAUUAGAAAAAUAAAUUUAUGAAUUAAUUUUGUAAAAUUAAUAAAAUUUUAAGUUUAAUUAAAGAAUUAAAAUUUAAAAUUAAAUUCAAAAUGGAAAUUUGGGAAAACCACAAAGUGGGAUUUUACCACUCAAUUUAAAAGCACCUUAAUCACAAUAAUCCACUAAUUCCACAAAGUAGGUGGUGUCUUCCUAGGAUGAAGACUUCAAAGCAUGGGCUAAUAGUUUUAAAAACAAAAGAGAUUCAGUUGAAAAGGACAUGCAAUUGCUGAAUUGCUGAGUUUUUAAAAGUUAAAGAAGUUGUUCUUGAACAAGCUGAAAAAUCGGAAAACCUUUUCUCCAAAUGCCCUAUGUUCAAGCUUGUUUUGAGUCCUACAACUUAAUCUAAGGCUCCUAGAGAAUAGUAGGGAAGCUCUAGUGGUGGUCCACAGCCUGAAUCGAAGAAGAUUGUAGCUGUAUUUCGUUGAAGAAUAGGAUCUUCAAAGUUUCAUUAAAUCCAAGCUCCAUUCAAGAUCGAGGUUGAACUCUUAUCAGGCAACAACUCCAUUUUGAUUAAAUUCAACUUAAUCCAAGCUUAUGGUUGAAGUCUACCUCAAUUCUAGUUUCACCAAAUUUGACUUGUUUUCAUAUUGGUUUCAAAAUUUGGUGAAGUAUGCAACUGGAGAUUGAAGCUUGCGCCAAACUAGGUUCAAUGAACCAAACCUUAUCCAAGAUUGGGAUAGAAAUCUCAUACAAUUGUUUCUAGUUGAAGCAUAUGCAAAGUCCAGGUCUAUCUUUUUCAAUACCAAAUCUUCACAUUGGUUUCAAAUUUGGAUUAAAUUCAACGUCAUCCAUGAUUAUGGUAGAAGCUUGCACCAAGCCAAGGUCUAUACAAAACCUUAUCCAAGAUUUAGGUUGAAUUCUUGCCUAGCAAGAUCUUUUCUAUUUUGGUAAAAUUCAACACAUUACAAGAUUGAGGUUUGAACUCUUGUAAAACAUGGACAGUUUCAAAAUUUUUCUAGAUUUUACAUCCGCCAUCUAGAUUAUUACUUUGGAUGACAAGGUACUUGGCAUAACUUAGUUAUUAUUAUCACAGGUAA